CGCAACAUGCAUUCACAUCAAAUAUUUACUCACGGGACAGUGCACUUAUUCACAAUCGCAAAAGUACAUUAUUUGCAUGUACUUUAAAUCCUUGCCGGUUAAUUUAAACGUUAAACGUUUCAAUCACGUGCUGUUCUGACGUGCGCCUUUUCUGAGCGCAUACACCCGAAGCACGCGCACUUAAAAGC